GACGAACGCUGGCGGCGUGCUUAACACAUGCAAAUCAACGGGAAAGAUGUAGCAAUACAUCGAGUACAGUGGCGCACGGGUGAGUAAUAUGUAAGUAAUCUGCCUAUAGGAUGGGAAUAACUCCGCGAAAGCGGGGCUAAUACCGAAUAAUGCAGCGGCACCGCAUGGUGAUGUUGUUAAAGAUGCAGCAAUGUAUUGCCUAUAGAUGAGCUUGCAGCCGAUUAGCUAGUUGGCAGGGUAAAAGCCUACCAAGGCAACGAUCGGUAGCUGGUCUGAGAGGAUGAUCAGCCACACUGGAACUGAGACACGGUCCAGACUCCUACGGGAGGCAGCAGUGAGGAAUAUUGGGCAAUGCCCGCAAGGGUGACCCAGCAACGCCGCGUGGAGGAUGAAGGCCGUAAGGUCGUAAACUCCUGUGAGAUGGGAAGAAAGUCCGUAAUUCGUAAGGGUUGCGGUUUGACUGUACCAUCAGAGGAAGCCCCGGCUAACUACGUGCCAGC
rnacentral:rRNA from 1 species